rfam:Parabacteroides goldsteinii dnLKV18 genomic scaffold acPFM-supercont1.2, whole genome shotgun sequence.
GAGAGCCGGAUACAGGGAGACUUGUAAGUCCGGUUCGGAGGCGAGUACUCGGAAACCUACCAUAGAAAUAUGACAAGGCGCUGGGUGCUUAGCCUAC